rnacentral:rRNA from 1 species
AAUCAACGCUGGCGGCGUGCCUCAGACAUGCAAGUCGAACGCGAAAGUUUCCUUCGGGAAACAAGUAGAGUGGCGCACGGGUGAGUAACACGUAGGUAAUCUACCUUCGGAUGGGGAAUAACAAUCGGAAACGGUUGCUAAUACCGCAUAAUGCAGCGGCACCUAAUGGUGACAGUUGUUAAAGCGGGGGAGUCGAAGACCUCGCGUCUGAAGAGGAGCCUGCGGCGGAUAGUCUAGUUGGUAAGGUAAUGGCUUACCAAGGCUACGAUCCGUAACCGGCCUGAGAGGGCGGUCGGUCACACUGACACUGACAUACGGGUCGA